AGUACUUCUACCUCAUCUUUACCAAACAGUAAUUUUGAAGUAACUCCACCAUGCAACUUAAUAAAAUUAAAGAUUAGCUACUAACCCUAUGAUGAAAUUAUUUAGACACGAGGUAGAGGUACGAACCUAGAAAAUAGAAAUUGAGACAGUGAACAAAAUAUAGUGUGAUGAUCGUUAAUUAGAAAUAGAAAAUUUAUAAACUCUAAUUUGUUAAAAUGUUAUGUGCCUGAAGUUUGAAGCUCGAAGAACAUAAGGUUUACGUCGGCACAAGUUAAGUUGAAAACCUUAUGAUCAGUUAGACGCUGAUACUUGAAAGGUUAAGUUCUUUAUUUUUUAGCUAAAUAUGACUUUUUGAUUUUCUUAUUUUGUUUACUAUUUCAAUAUCUAUUUCUAAGAUUAGUACCUCUACCUCGUCUUUAAAUAAUUCCAUGAUAGGGUUAGUAGCUAAUUUUUAAUUUUAUUAAGUUGCAUGGUGGUGUUCCUUCAAAAGUCAUGUUGGGUUAUUUUACUUCUUUGUUUGCUAAUUAGAAAUAGAAAAUUUAUAAACUCUAAUUUUUGAAAAAUGGCAUGAGCUUGAAGGUUGGAGCUCGAAGAACAUAAGGUUUGCGUCGGCACAAGUUAAGUUGAAGAACUGAUGAUUAGUUAAAAGCUG
rnacentral:lncRNA from 1 species